rnacentral:rRNA from 1 species
UGGGGAAUAUUGGACAAUGGGCGCAAGCCUGAUCCAGCCAUGCCGCGUGUGUGAAGAAGGCCUUUUGGUUGUAAAGCACUUUAAGCGAGGAGGAGGCUACUUGGAUUAAUACUCUAGGAUAGUGGACGUUACUCGCAGAAUAAGCACCGGCUAACUCUGUGCCAGCAGCCGCGGUAAUACAGAGGGUGCGAGCGUUAAUCGGAUUUACUGGGCGUAAAGCGUGCGUAGGCGGCUUCUUAAGUCGGAUGUGAAAUCCCUGAGCUUAACUUAGGAAUUGCAUUAGAUACUGGGAAGCUAGAGUAUGGGAGAGGAUGGUAGAAUUCCAGGUGUGGCGGUGAAAUGCGUAGAGAUCUGGAGGAAUACCGAUGGCGAAGGCAGCCAUCUGGCCUAAUACUGACGCUGAGGUACGAAAGCAUGGGGAGCAAACAGG